GACGAACGCUGGCGGCGUGCUUAACACAUGCAAGUCGAGCGGGUCCAACCUGUCGCAAGACAGGGGAAGACCUAGCGGCGAACGGGUGAGUAACACGUGAGGAACCUGCCCCGCAGACCGGGAUAACACCGGGAAACCGGUGCUAAUACCGGAUGCCCUCAGAGAGUCGCAUGGCUCAUUGAGGAAAUGGAUUCCGCUUCGGGAGGGCCUCGCGGCCUAUCAGCUUGUUGGUGGGGUAACGGCCUACUAAGGCUCCGACGGGUAGCUGGUCUGAGAGGACGACCAGCCACACUGGGACUGAGACACGGCCCAGACUCCUACGGGAGGCAGCAGUGGGGAAUCUUGCGCAAUGGGCGAAAGCCUGACGCAGCAACGCCGCGUGCGGGACGAAGGCCUUCGGGUUGUAAACCGCUUUCAGCAGGGACGAACAUGACGGUACCUGCAGAAGAAGCCCCGGCCAACUACGUGCCAGCAGCCGCCGUAAAAC
rnacentral:rRNA from 1 species